UACAGAGGGUGCAAGCGUUGUUCGGAAUUACUGGGCGUAAAGCGCACGUAGGCGGAUUGCUAAGUCUGGUGUGAAAUCCCCGAGCUUAACUCGGGAACUGCAUCGGAAACUGGUGGGCUCGAGUCCGGGAGAGGGGUAGCGGAAUUCCUGGUGUAGAGGUGAAAUUCGUAGAUAUCAGGAGGAACACCGGUGGCGAAGGCGGCUACCUGGACCGGUACUGACGGCUGAGACA
rnacentral:rRNA from 1 species